AUUGAACGCUGGCGGCAGGCUUAACACAUGCAAGUCGAACGAGGGGCGGACGGGUGAGUAAUGCUUGGGAAUCUAGCUUAUGGAGGGGGAUAAAUACGGGAAACUGUAGCUAAUACCGCGUACCAUAGGAUGAGCCCAAGUGGGAUUAGGUAGGUGGUGAGGUAAAGGCUCACCAAGCCGACGAUCUCUAGCUGGUCAGAGCGGAUGACCAGCCACCCGGGGACUGAGACACGGCCCAGACUCCUACGGGAGGCAGCAGUGGCGAAUAUUGCGCAAUGGGGGCAACCUGACGCAGCCAUGCCGCGUUGAUGAAGAAGGCCUUCGGGUUGUAAAGUUCUUUCGGUAGCGAGGCGUUACCUACAGAAGAAGCACCGGCUAACGCCGUGCCAGCCGCCGCGGUAAGUC
rnacentral:rRNA from 1 species